rnacentral:rRNA from 1 species
CAAUAGCGUAUAUUUAAGUUGUUGCAGUUAAAAAGCUCGUAGUUGGAUUUCGGUUAAGAGCGACCGGUCCGCCGUUUGGUGUGUACUGGUUGGUUUUAACUUCCUGUAGAGGACGUGCUCUGGGUUUAACGACCUGGACUCGGAGUCUACGUGGUUACUUUGAAAAAAUUAGAGUGUUCAAAGCGGGCUUACGCUUGAAUAUUUCAGCAUGGAAUAACACUAUAGGACUCCUGUCCUAUUUCGUUGGUCUCGGGACGGGAGUAAUGAUUAAGAGGAACAGUUGGGGGCAUUCGUAUUUCAUUGUCAGAGGUGAAAUUCUUGGAUUUAUGAAAGACGAACUUCUGCGAAAGCAUUUGCCAAGGAUGUUUUCAUUAA